rnacentral:rRNA from 1 species
GAACGCUAGCUACAGGCUUAACACAUGCAAGGUCGAGGGGCAGCACAGUGUAGCAAUACACGGGUGGCGACCGGCGGACGGGUGCGUAACGCGUAUGCAACCUACCUUAUACAGGGGGAUAACCUUUCGAAAGGGAGACUAAUACCGCAUAACAUUACUUUGAGGCAUCUUGAGGUAAUUAAAUCUUCGGAGGUAUAAGAUGGGCAUGCGUAGCAUUAGCUAGAUGGUGCGGUAACGGCGUACCAUGGCGACGAUGCUUAGGGGUUCUGAGAGGAAGGUCCCCCACACUGGUACUGAGAUACGGACCAGACUCCUACGGGAGGCAGCAGUGAGGAAUAUUGGUCAAUGGUCGGAAGACUGAACCAGCCAUGCCGCGUGCAGGAAGAAUGUCUUAUGGAUUGUAAACUGCUUUUGUAUGGGGCUAAUAAUAACUUUGCGAAGUUAGAUGCAGGUACCAUACGAAUAAGGAUCGGCUAACUCCGUG